GCUGGCAUAGCUCAACUGGUAGAGCACCCGAUUUGUAAUCGGACGGUUGUGAGUUCAAGUCUUACUGCCAGCA
rnacentral:tRNA from 2 species